rnacentral:lncRNA from 1 species
AUGGAGACCAGACAUCACGUGAAAUGGACACGUUCAAAGGCAGGUCCUGUCUCGGGGGCAGUAGACAUCAGAGGACUACAGAAGGGUCUUCCUCCUCUCAAGCCAGGUGGUCCAUGGGAGAUGAUGAGCAGUACCCUUCUGUCACCAGAAGAUCCCGCAGGAAGCUGCAAGGCUGAAGCAUUUUUGCUAAUCCUUCCAAUGAGUCUAUCUCUCCCAGAAUUAAACAAAAUCUUCCCCCUCCUUCCUUUUUCCGUCCCUCCCACUUCCUCUCUCUCCUAACUCCAUCCCCCACAUGUAUUCAAGGUGACAGAGAUUUAUCUGGAAAAAGCCAACUAAUCAAAGUCAACAGAUGGUGACUCGGAACAGCAGAUCCUAGACAAAGAAGAGACGAGACAGUCCCUUUUUUCCUCUGGCCUUUGGAAACUUGAGAAAAGGAGAAAAUCGCUCCUGUGGGUUGGCGUUUGAUUUUCACAACUUCAUGUUUCUCUCCUUCUUGGCCAGCCCCACCACCUGCCGGUGCCUGCCCUGCCAAAGUUAAGGUCAGCCUGACAGGAAGUGCAGAAAGGAUGUCGACAGAAAAGUUCGAUGGUAGAGCACGCUGUGCUCACAGCCAGAGUUCCC